GAUUGCCGAUUUUGUGAGUGUGACUGCAGAUACCAGCGCUCGUCUCUGCUAAACCCCUUUACACCUCCCGAGGAGCCUUUCUUCUCCUAGGACCGGCGUCAUUGGAUCCCGCCAGGCCCAGCUUUGCGCUCCUAAUCCCUCUUGUUUACAGAAAAGGAUCCUCCCCAAAAUACUGGAAGUGUUGCUUCUGUUUGGGCACCCCUCUCACCCUUUCUCCUGGUACUGCCUCAACUGCAUGUCACCACUCAGACCUGAAGCUUCAUCUUGGACAUCUCUGGAGCCAUACCCUGAAUUUGAGGCCGGGAACCUGGCCGGUCCCUAGACCCCUCAGCUCAGCACGUCAGAACGAGAGCAGCAUCCCUGCACAUCCUGGGUGCCCUCCUGCGGGUCGAGCAUGUUUGCCUGCUGUGAGUGAAGAGCGUGGGGAGAGAGGGAGCUUGAAGAUGCAGGAGCGCCUGGAAUACGAGAGGGAGAAGAGCCCCAGGCACAAGCCUUCUGGCUCGGAGGAUGUCAGGCUGCCUUGUUUUGUUCUAAUGCUGACGUUCAGAAGAACAAGAUCUAUUGUCGGAACAAUGCCUUAUUUCUCAGGUUUACACAUAGGAAUGUAUGUUUCACAGUGUAGCUGCAACCCCGAUGGAAGAUAUUUUAACUCAGCCCGUUAUUCAUCGAUUUGAUUGGUUGAUUGAUUGAUUGAUAUACUUAGCUCUUUCCACAAAUGAUUUUAGGCGCUUUUCACAACAUGGAUGUGUGAACCAGGAAAAAAUAAUACGUUAGGACCGGGGGCACCACGCUUGGGAGAGGAGCUCAAGAAGGCAGAAGUGUGGGAGCUGAAGAGGCAGAGUGUAGGAAGACAGACAACCGACACGGGACCCGUGCUAUUCCCCACACCAAAGCUGACACACAAAUUUGGCUCUCAAGGUCCUGAUGGCCAGAGCAAAAACAGAAACAUGAAUCUGUUACCAGAUUUCAGUGUUCACAAAGAAAGAAAACACAUGAGUCCCUCUCUCAGGGAAGCAAAUUUCUCCUGGUGUGUGUGUGAGUGCAUGCAUGUAUGUGCAUAUGUGUGUGAUGUGUGUAUGUGCAUGCACGUACGGGUCUGUGCAUGUGUGACGUGUGCAUGCAUGGGUGUGCAAGUGCAUGUGUGCCAGAGUGUGCACGCACGGGUCUGUGCAUGUGUGACGUGUGCAUGCAUGGGUGUGCAAGUGCAUGUGUGCCAGAGUGUGCACGCACGGGUCUGUGCAUGUGUGACGUGUGCAUGCAUGGGUGUGCACGUGCAUGUGAGAUGUGUGUGUGUGUGUGUGUGUGUGUGUGAUGUGGGCAUGCAUAGGUAUGUGCGUGUGUGUGACACCAUCUUUCCCAUGGGCUUUGUGAGUGAUGUGGCGCACAAUGUCCUCAGUCACUCAAGGCUCUUUCUUGGGUCAUCACUACAUGCAUUUGCAGAGUUUAGUUGCAAAGUGCCACUCUGACAGAGCAGGCAGCCAGGGAAUACAGACUGUACUUCAUGAGGAAAAUUCUAGAACCCGUGGAGGACUGCAUGGACUCCAUGUCUCUCAGACAUUUCUCAGUGGAAGCUUGGGUAAGAGUUGCUCUGGGGAUGGAUGGUUGCCUUUGAAAGUGCACUGAACUCCUUUGUGUUAUUGGGCUGAGGUCAGACCCAAUUACCUCAGAGAGCUUCUUAGAUGGUCACAUUGCACAUAAGUUUUUGGAACUGAGGACCCAAACCUAAAUUCCCCCCUACAAGUAAACUGAGGGGGAUUAGGAACACAUUAGGAACCAGUGGGUUUCCCAAAGUUUAUCCCAUACAGAACAUUGGAGAAAUUACUUUAGCUUGAAAAUUUUUGAGGUAGACUCGUCAUCAUGACCAAGGGAAAAAAAAUCUCAGUAAUAUUCUCAUAGAACAUCAGUUUUGAUUCCACAUGAUUUCUCAAUGGAACCAGCAAGAAGAAAUUAUUACAAAUUGUAGCCUUAAAGAGCUCCAUGUGAUGACAUUUUUUAUAGAACAUCUGCUGGAAUGAGGAUUUUAGUUUGAGACAAGUUGAUAUCACACUAUAAUCUCUGGCAAUAAUUAACUAGCAGGACUGGUUUCAUGACUGAGAUAACUCCCUGCUCUUGCCCUGAGUUUCCUGGGCAGGGGGGUGGGCAACCAGCCCUGCUAAAAAACCGUUCCAAUGGUAAAGGGGGGUGGGCACAACAGUCUUGUUUUAUGCCAUUGGAAUUACAGUUUGAUUUGCAGAGAGACUCGAUGUAAACAGUGGUGUUUAGAUGCAGCUCCCACAUGAACAUGAACCCUGAAAUUCACACUGCUUACCCUGCAGCCUGGCUGGGGCCUCAGUCAGAGCCUGGGGCAGGUCGAUGGGAGUGAUAAGCAUUGUUUCGUUGAUUAAGAAUUCUUCGGGGGCGCCUGGGCGGCUCGGUCAGUUAAACGUCUGUCUUCAGCUCUGGUCAUGAUCUCAGGGUCCCGGGAUCGAACCCCGCAUCGGGCUCCCUGCUCAAUGGGGAGUCUGCUUUUCCUUCGCCCUCUGCCCCACCCCCUGCUCAUGCUCUCUCUCUCUCUCUCAAAUAAAUAAAUAAAUAAAUAAAA